rnacentral:lncRNA from 1 species
CGCGCUUCAAGCUUAAUGGUAUCAAGCUCAAUUCCGGCGAAAGAUAGGGUUGUCGAAGGCCCAAAGGUUUUCUCUUGGGCCAGCGGCCGACCAAUAAAUGCACAAAAUGCUAGAAAGGAGUCAUAAGAGGGCGAAAUAAGCAAAAAAUCAUCAAGUAAAUGUAAAAUAUAGUCGAUAUCGAGUUUGUGUUGAGCAAUCCAUUGAAGCGCAGUACUAAAAACUUCAAAGGUUUUGCAAGAACUGGCAGCACCCAUAGGCAAGCAGCGAUCGAAAUAAUACCGUCCGCGCCAUUUCAUGCCCAACAGAUAAUGGUCGUAGGGUCGAAUUGGUAUAAUGCGAAAAGCGUUC